rnacentral:rRNA from 1 species
AGAGUUUGAUCAUGGCUCAGAAUCAACGCUGGCGGCGUGCCUAACACAUGCAAGUCGAACGCGAAAGUCCCGCAAGGGAUAAGUAGAGUGGCAAACGGGUGAGUAACACGUGGGUGACCUGCCUUCGAGUGGGGGAUAACGUCCCGAAAGGGACGCUAAUACCGCAUAACAUCCUGCCUUUGAAGAGGUGGAGAUCAAAGCUGGGGAUCGCAAGACCCGGCACUUGAAGAGGGGCCCGCGUCUGAUUAGCUAGUUGGUGGGGUAAUGGCCUACCAAGGCAACGAUCAGUAUCCGGCCUGAGAGGGCGGACGGACACACUGGGACUGAGACACGGCCCAGACUCCUACGGGAGGCAGCAGUGGGGAAUUGUUCGCAAUGGGCGCAAGCCUGACGACGCAACGCCGCGUGGAGGAUGAAGAUCUUCGGGUCGUAAACUCCUGUCGAAUGGGACGAACAGAUUGCGGGUUAACAGCCCGUGGUCCUGACGGUACUGUUAAAGGAAACCCCGGCUAACUCCGUGCCAGCAGCCGCGGUAAUACGGGGGGGGUAAGCGUUGUUCGGAAUUACUGGGCGUAAAGGGCUCGUAGGCGGCCAACUAAGUCAUACGUGAAAUCCCUCAGUUUAACUGGGGAACUGCAUGUGAUACUGGAUGGCUUGGAUUCGGGAGAGGGAUGCGGAAUUCCAGGUGUAGCGGUGAAAUGCGUAGAUAUCUGGAGGAACACCGGUGGCGAGGGCGGCAUCCUGGACCGAUAUUGACGCUGAGGAGCGAAAGCCAGGGGAGCAAACGGGAUUAGAUACCCCGGUAGUCCUGGCCCUAAACGAUGAAUGCUUGGUGUAGCGGGUAUCGAUCCCUGCUGUGCCGAAGCUAACGCAUUAAGCAUUCCGCCUGGGGAGUACGGUCGCAAGGCUGAAACUCAA